rnacentral:rRNA from 1 species
GUCUAUGAUCUUGCCACCCUGAAUGUGCCCAAUCUUGUCUGAUCUUGGAAGCUAAGCAAGAUCAGGACUGGUAAGUACUUGGAUGGGAGACCAUCUAGGAAGACCAGGUGCUGUAGGUG